UUUAAAUUUCGCAACACUGCUCAGAUGUUGACGUUGUCGGUCGACUGCCGAUCGUGACGCCGCCAUAUUUCAAGUAGUGAGAAUGGGAGAUAAUUGUCUCGGGAAUUGUUUGACUUUUUCAGCAUAUUAAUGGCCCCAAACUGUUUCGAUAAAGGUUUGUGUCGAACUAAUCGACAUUUAACUUCGGAGGAAGCAAACGAUAAAAAAAACAGCAUCAGUCUACUUCCGUGAAGCAAUCCUGUGCUCUUUUAUAACAUGCCACCCAGAGUUUGUUAUUCGGCAAAGUGGAGGAUGGAGAAAGCAUUCCCGAUGUACCAACCAAUUUCGCCUAUCCGGAAAAGUACAUAAUAUUGCAGUUCAAAACGAAUGCAAGGAUUUAUUGGCAUAGGAAGUCAAAUGCAACGUAAACGGGUCCUCUGAGGGAAUUCACUAUGGAGCAGCACUUGCUGAACGUGAUCAUGGACAUUGAGUAGGACAUAGCCAGACAUAGAUGUAUUUGUAUGGAUCAACUAUAGAACCUGGCCCUUCGUAAAGCUUCAUCAUUUUUCGCAGAAUUGCUGCCAUGAGACGAGUUAGUACUUCUCCAUCUACAGAAACCAAUUGACACCGUAAGCGAACCCAGCACGAUUUGUUUGACAAGUAUCGCAAAGGCGGUACCGGUCGUAUGAUUCCUGGCACACUUCACUCAUCUGCAGGCUGGAGGAUGGAUGAGGAUGAAAAAUACAACAAGCGACUGACGAAAGAUCGCCACAAGCUUCGUCGCUUCUUACCAAGCUGCGUCAGCAUAGUUUUUCCAUCAAGCGGCAGGAAAAAUAAUAUGAACACCGAGUUAUCUUCGUGCCGGAAAUGUCCGCUCUGGAUUGGAGCAGGGCAUCAUUGAAGUUGAUGCGAGACCAAGGAUCAGUUGAACUUCAACAACAUUGCCAUUCGGGUCACGAAUCCUUCCACACAGGGCUACAAAAAACUAAUGAAUCUGAAAUGCAAAAGUGUGAAGAUUCUGAAAACACAAGAAAAGAAGCAUACAAAAAGCAGAGCAGAAACGCAAAUAAAAAAAAAGAGAAGGAGGGACAGAAAAGGAAGAGAAGGAGCGGAAAAGAUUAGCGGAAGUUUAAGCGAAAACUGAAGAGAAGCAUAAGAAAGAGGAACUAAAGGAGGAAGAGCGUACAAAGAAAGAAGAGGAAAUUGGAGCAGAGGUGAAGGCUGCUCAGGCCUUUUAGAGUUUCUUUGUGAAGAAACCAGUGCCAAAAGAUGUAAAACAAUCGAACGAUGAAAAGUCGAUGGAUUGUCAAUCUCUGGGAGAUGGUAGCUAUGAGGUUUCUCGAUUGGCAUUUAUGCCCUACACUGUGGAGGGCGAUAUGCGAUUGGCUCCAGUGUGCAUAGUAUUCCUGGGAAUGGAACGCAUGAAACGUUUGGAAGAAGUGUUGGUUGAAGCGGAUGCAGAAAAGAAUGAACGGGAUGGAUUUUACCUGAAGCAGUUAAAAACAAAGACUACGUGGUUGGCAAAUGGGAGCGAACGAGGACGGCACCGGAUGACGAAGGAGACGAUGACGAUGUAAUGAUUAUAGAUGACAAUGUGUGCCAUCAGAUCGAAGCGAACCCGGCAGCUUCCCCAACUCACAGCUAUCGUGCCAAAAACUUCCUAUUUGAAGAAAACCGCCGACCGCCGUAUCGGGGAACGUAGCGGAAGCAAAGCACGCAGACCAAGCUACGACGUCCCUUUGCUCAGGGCACUGUGAGUAACACGCUUCGUGUUAUGGAGCUAACAAAAAUUUUAACUUCUCCAAAAAUACUUCGAUUACGAAUUCGACUCGGAUGACAAAUGUGAAGAGGAGGAACCGGGUGAAUCGCUUUACGACAGUGACGACAUGACACGGCGUUCCACAUGGUCACUUGGUCACUUGAGCGACGAAGAGAUGCAAGCAGGGGCUAACGUCAUUGCAGACAGCAGUCCGGAAACCCAGAAGGCCAAGCUGAAAAUCAUGCGCCAAGAAUUUGCUGCCGAAAUGAAAAUGAAAACGUAAAAAAUCAAAUCACGACUUAUCGAUUGCUUGUGGGAGAACGGACCCGGGGAGGAACCAGAAUGUUCAGCUAUGAUUUGGGAGAUCCUCAAAGCUCGAGCCAUGUUGUUCGAUCCAGAGGAACCUAUUUCGUUUACGGUGCAUAAAAAUGGGCAGGAAUCGAACAGUUUAUCACCGUAAAAAAGGAACAAACCGAGCGGAAAGCUGAAACAGAUCAAACUGCUCGACGAAGGUGCAAAGGAGCUGAUUACACUCAUUCACUGAAGUGCUCUGAAUCGAAAGUUGCUAAUAAAAGAAUUCUUGGCAUACUGGACUAAGUGAAGGGGCGAGGGAGAAAGUAAUGCCCGAAAGUAUCAGGAUGAAAAUCCUACAAAAUGUGUUGGUAUGUAAACAAACAAGUAUUGGUCAAAUAAGGUUUGACGGACCCGAAAAUACCAUUGGAUGGGAGUUUAUUCUAAAACUUAUAAUCGAAACUACAUACAACAUGGAUUUUUAGUCUGCAAUCGACUCCCAGCUCAGCAUUGGUAUCAAAAACAUCUGCCGCUCCCUCCUCCAGCAUCACCAAGGUUACGCGAUGAAACUCCGAAGACGAUAAACGGAAGCAGUUUGCACCGAAUGGCAGGAAAUCUGCCACCACUUCGUUGAAAAUUUGCCGCAGCUGCCGCCUCACCAGUGGCUGCUUCGCCCAGUUUGACCGCGGAACCGGUGACGUGUUCAACCGCUAAUAUCAGUGCCACUGGGCCGAACAUAAAUAAGACCACCAAGAGCAAUCUAAUCAUCCAGCUUCAGGCCAAAGAUGGCACCGCUAACAACACCACAAGCAACGAUAAGAGCAAUGCGAACAUGGUGGAAUCGAUGGCGGUUGAGACGCUGAACCACGGUGGACAACCGAACGAUCCUGGCAAAAGUAUCGUUUUAUUGAUCAAUGGGUUCGAAGUGUAUCAGAUCAGUAGUGCUAAAGUGCACUAGGUAGGAUUGCGGUGCCAACAUUUCUAGGCUGUAAGCAGUUGCUGCUCAGGACACCCUUUGUCACCCACCCGUGCCACUUGCCAAUAUGCCACUGACUGGAGUUCGAUCUGCUGGUGUACAGUGUCGGUUAAUGUGCAUCGCACUGAUGGUUCAUCGAUAUUCCCCUUAAGGAAAUAUAUUUAAAUACACUGAGUGAGAGUCAUUAUUC